UAGAAACAACUCCCUCCUCCUCCUCCCCGUACUCAUACUCUUGCGAUUUCUUACUCUCUUCUUCUUUAUCAUCUUCGUUGGUCAACUGUUCGACUUAAAACCCUCCUUUAUAUCUUUCUAAAUCUACCAACAGAGGGUUUGUGGGUUUCUAAGGAUUUCUUUUUAGUUUCACUAAGAUUGAAUGGGUGUUGUGUUUGACAUGAAGCUGAUUUGGGUGAUUCUCGAGAUGAAAUAGAUAAGAAGAGAUGGUUAAUGCCAGAGUAACGGAAAGUCGGGGAAAGGAGUAGUGGAGAUGGGUUUAAUGGUAAGCUGAUGUAGUUCAUGUUGUCAAUGAUGCAGGGAUGGAGAAGGUAUUGGUUAUUGUUUUUGAAUUCGAGAAAGGUUGAGCUCGAUUGAGUUGCAUAUGCGAUGUUGGUAAUGGAAAUGAUUGUAGUGCUGCUAUGGAGCUGAGGCAAUGUGGUGGUUGAGAUGAUGAGUGGGUUAUUAUGAGGUUAUUAAUUGAACUAGAGUGUGUUGGCAAGAAGAUUGGGUACAUGUUCAGUUUCUAUUUGGUGUGAGCUACAGGUGGUCGUGCAAUGGCUACGUAUAGUGGAGUGGAUGCAGCUGUAAUGUUGGUGUGGAUAUGAUGAUAUGGGCCCGCUGGUUAGUACAUGGGAGAUAGGAUUCUGGUGCUGAUACUGAAGCUGGAUUUGGUGCUGUUGGUUUGAGAGACUGAACGAGUUCUGAAGAUGUAGCUUUGUGCAACUGUUACUAUUGGGGGUUGUUUGAGCCGAGAGUUUGCUGCCAGUGGUGAUAAUAAAUGCGUAUGCUUAUGUUUAAUUUGCAGGGAAAUGGAAAGCUAUAGAAGAGUACCACCAGGUAGGUUGCACAGCAACACCACCAGCUUGUGCAUGCAAAAUGUUCAAGGCAAUUCCUGAAUCACUAGUCUCGAGUAUGAUGGGUUUAUUUAAUUUUCUUAAAAUUAUUAUGCAGGCCUCAGGUAUCAUCAACUUUGCUCUGUAAACAUAAUAGUAUAUUGGGUCCUACUUACGUAGUUGGAAUUGAUGAUUUUUGUUGGAAAUGCAGGCUGGAGGGAUGUAUGUGAUAUGUAUGCUGCUGCUGCUAGUGGAUACUUGGAGUAACUAGCUUUUUGUAUCUAAUUUGGAUCAUGGUGUUUCAGAUGAGAAUAUCAAAGUAAAAGAAUUUAUAUAGGUUUGGGUUAGGUUUCUUAGUGGAGGGAGUAGUUUAUCAACUGUCGUUUGAGAUUUCGGUAAGUCGUAAUAUAGGAAAAACUGUAAGAGGUUGCUGGAAGAUGUUGGUACUUCGGUUGAUUCGGCAAGAAUGAUUUGGAAAUUCCUGUAAAAUUAUAGCUGUUACAUCAAAUUUACUUUAGGGAGUUGAAUCCGUGGAUGUUUUCGGAGUAAGAUUAAUAUGAGUAUCUCUUGAGGGAUUCAGAAUCGGUAAGGAAUGAUAAAAUCUUCUUCAGUUGUUUAUGGAUCUUUGAAAUUAACAUGUUAAAUGUUAUCGUUUUAUAAUCAUAUACAUUACGGUAUGUUUGUUAGGGGAUGAAGUGAAGUAAUAGUAGAUUGUAACUUAGAAAAUCAUGAAAGAAGGAUAUGAAAAGUCUG